UNGGAGAGGAAAGUGGAAUUCCUAGUGUAGCGGUGAAAUGCGUAGAUAUUAGGAAGAACACCAGUGGCGAAGGCGACUUUCUGGACGAAAACUGACGCUGAGGCGCGAAAGCCAGGGGAGCGAACGGGAUUAGAUACCCCGGUAGCCCUGGCCGUAAACGACGGGUACUAGGUGUAGGAGGUAUCGACCCCUUCUGUGCCGGAGUUAACGCAAUAAGUACCCCGCCUGGGGAGUACGACCGCAAGGUUGAAACUCAAAGGAAUUGACGGGGGCCCGCACAAGCGGUGGAGUAUGUGGUUUAAUUCGACGCAACGCGAAGAACCUUACCAGGUCUUGACAUUGAUGGACAGAACCAGAGAUGGUUCCUCUUCUUCGGAAGCCAGAAAACAGGUGGUGCACGGUUGUCGUCAGCUCGUGUCGUGAGAUGUUGGGUUAAGUCCCGCAACGAGCGCAACCCCUAUCUUAUGUUGCCAGCACUUCGGGUGGGAACUCAUGAGAGACUGCCGCAGACAAUGCGGAGGAAGGCGGGGAUGACGUCAAAUCAUCAUGCCCCUUAUGACCUGGGCUACACACGUACUACAAUGGGAGUUAAUAGACGGAAGCGAGAUCGCGAGAUGGAGCAAACCCGAGAAACACUCUCUCAGUUCGGAUCGUAGGCUGCAACUCGCCUACGUGAAGUCGGAAUCGCUAGUAAUCGCAGGUCAGCAUACUGCGGUGAAUACGUUCCCGGGCCUUGUACACACCGCCCGUCACACCACGAAAGUCGGAAGUGCCCAAAGCC
rnacentral:rRNA from 1 species